rnacentral:tRNA from 1 species
UGUAGCUCAGCGGUAGAGCACUUGCCUGGCACGCAGGAAGCCUGGGCUCUGUGCCCAGCA